rnacentral:rRNA from 1 species
AGUUGGUUGUCGUCAGCUCGUGCCGUGAGGUGUCGGGUUAAGUCCCAUAACGAGCGCAACCCUUAUCGUUAGUUGCCAUCUGGUAAUGCAGGGGACUCUAGCGAAACUGCCACCGUAAGGUGAGAGGAAGGUGGGGAUGACGUCAAAUCAGCACGGCCCUUAUGUCCAGGGCUACACACGUGUUACAAUGGUCGGUACAGAGGGCAGCUACCUGGUGACAGGAUGCUAAUCUCGAAAACCGGUCUCAGUUCGGAUCGAAGUCUGCAACUCGACUUCGUGAAGCUGGAUUCGCUACGUAAUCGCGCAUCCAGCUAUGGCCGCGGUCCGAAUACGUUCCGGGCCUU